rnacentral:rRNA from 1 species
UACGGAAGGCAGCAGUGGGGAAUAUUGCACAAUGGGCGAAAGCCUGAUGCAGCUAUGCCGCGUGUAUGAAGAAGGCCUUAGGGUUGUAAAGUACUUUCAUCGGGGAGGAAAAAACAAAACUAAUAAUUUUAUUUCUUGACGUUACCCGAAAAAGAAGCACCGGCUAACUCCGUGCCAGCAGCCGCGGUAAUACGGAGGGUGCUAGCGUUAAUCAGAAUUACUGGGCGUAAAGAGCACGUAGGUGGUUUUUUUAAAGUCAGAUGUGAAAUCCCUGGGCUUAACCUAGGAACUGCAUUUUGAAACUGAAAUACUAGAGUAUCGUAGAGGGAGGUAGAAUUCUAGGUGUAGCGGUAAAAUGCGUAGAUAUCUGGAGGAAUACCUGUGGCGAAAGCGGCCUCCUAAACGAAUACUGACACUGAGGUGCGAAAGCGUGGGGAGCAAACAGGGAUUAGAUACC